AUACGUAGGUCCCGAGCGUUUGUCCGGAUUUAUUGGGCGUAAAGCGAGCGCAGGCGGUUUAAUAAGUCUGAAGUUAAAGGCAGUGGCUUAACCAUUGUUCGCUUUGGAAACUGUUAAACUUGAGUGCAGAAGGGGAGAGUGGAAUUCCAUGUGUAGCGGUGAAAUGCGUAGAUAUAUGGAGGAACACCGGUGGCGAAGGCGGCUCUCUGGUCUGCAACUGACGCUGAGGCUCGAAAGCAUGGGGAGC
rnacentral:rRNA from 1 species